UACGUAGGGGGCAAGCGUUAUCCGGAUUUACUGGGUGUAAAGGGCGUGUAGGCGGGACUGCAAGUCAGAUGUGAAAACCACGGGCUCAACCUGUGGCCUGCAUUUGAAACUGUAGUUCUUGAGUACUGGAGAGGCAGACGGAAUUCCUAGUGUAGCGGUGAAAUGCGUAGAUAUUAGGAGGAACACCGGUGGCGAAGGCGGCCUGCUGGACUGUGACUGACGUUGAGGCCCGAAGGCGUGGGGAGCAAACAGG
rnacentral:rRNA from 1 species